CAGUCGCCGCGGUAAUACGAGGGGGGCAAGCGUUGUUCGGAAUUAUUGGGCGUAAAGGGUGCGUAGGCGGUUUGGCAAGUUUGGUGUGAAAUCUUCGGGCUCAACUCGAAGUCUGCAUCGAAAACUGCCGGGCUUGAGUAUGGGAGAGGUGAGUGGAAUUUCCGGUGUAGCGGUGAAAUGCGUAGAUAUCGGAAGGAACACCUGUGGCGAAAGCGGCUCACUGGACCAUAACUGACGCUGAUGCACGAAAGCUAGGGGAGCAAACAGGAUUAGAUACCCCAGUAGUCCCUGUCUCUUAUAA
rnacentral:rRNA from 1 species